GGCUGGAGCCCGCAGGUGCCCGGCGCGGCCCGUGCCUGGAGUGGAUGCGCAGUGGCUCCACGUGGAGCAGCCUUACUCGAAGAAUACCCCCAGGAUCUCUCCUUGCCGUGGGAAUAAUCCAGAUCACCUUUCCUGGAAGUCAGUUUGCUGAAACUACUGAAGCAGCAGUUCCUGGAAGUUGAAGAAAAGGUAAAUAGAAGCAAAUUCGUGUCUGCUAAAGUCCCCUUAAGAGGGAAACCCAUGUUUGGAGGGCCCCUAUUGUUUCUCAGACAUCUCUGUAUGUAAUAUUUUACCUUCCUCUGCCUGGCCACACCCUAGUUUACCUUCGCCAAUGGCUGCCAUCUUAGAAAUG
rnacentral:lncRNA from 1 species